rnacentral:pre_miRNA from 15 species
GAAUAAAGAGAGCUGUCCGUCGACAGUCCAGUAAAGAUUGUAAAACUGUCAUGGAAUUGCUCUCUUUGUAUGA